AGUUUGGGUCUUGCUGGCGCGAGGUAGUCAGAGGACGUGGCCGCGGGGCUUGCUGGGACUUGAGGUUAGACGUCCCGGCCGUCGGUUGCCGCCUACACUGUCUGCCGUCGCGUCGCAGUUACUAAGGCGUGGGGAAGAUAGCGGCAGGCACCGCAGUGGAGCGGCUCCGAGAUCCCCGGGGGGCUCGCAGGCGCGCAUCCCUCCUGACUGGGACGUCGCCUCCGCAGACCCCUCGGAGGCUGAAGCGACGCCGGAGGCAGAGUCUCAAUAUGUUGCCCAGGCUGGUCUCAAACUCCUGAGCUCAAAUGAUCCUCCUGCCUCCCAAAGUGCUGUUAUCACAGGAGUCAACCACUAUGCCCGGCUUCCUAAUAAUUUUUACUGCUGCUCUCAAAGUUUUUGACAACGCACUUGUGUUGCUGGCAAACAACAUUUUCACCGCAAUGCUGAGCCACUGCUAACAGACCAUUAGCUAAAAAUUUACAAAAGUGAAAAAAAUCAUGUAUCCAUUUAAAUAUUCAAAUGAAUCAUGUUGGUGUUUUCUCAAUAUGGAGUUCUGUACAAGUUUUUGUUUCUUUGUUUUCAUUGCUUUUGGUUGUUAUUUAUAAGGAUUUGAGAACUUGGUCUCUAGAAGAGAGUUUUUAUACUGAAAAAGACUAAGGGAGGGUGAGAAAGUAGCAUUUUAAAUGUGAAUAAAAAAUAUCAAUUGCU
rnacentral:lncRNA from 1 species